rnacentral:snRNA from 11 species
AGCUUUGUGCAGUGGUGGUAUCAUAGCCAAUGAGGUUUAUCCGAGGCACGAUUAUUGCUAAUAGAAGGGUAGCUGUCUCAAGACCUGCCCAUCCAUAUUUUCUUGACUUUUCACACAAUAGCUACCAGGUAAUAAAUAUUUCAUAAAUCACUGUUAAA